rnacentral:sRNA from 1 species
UCGAUGAUUGUAAUCGCUGGAGUCGGCGAGCCCACUGGAAACCGAGGGAGAUACGCUGUUUCGUGGAAAAGUCAUCUUCGGCUCGGAAUCAACUGACGAAACGAGGAUUUGGAAGAUUUCUAGCCGGAAAAAUCAAAAUACUAACAAACAACGGCGGAAGACUACCGAAAAAAGAAAAACGAUGCAAAGAAAUCAAGAUCAGAGAAAAAGAAGCAAACCUCAAAUUUUUCUUCGGCAACUUCAGAUAAAUGAAUCUUGAGGAGC